UGCACGAGUUUAGACUCGUGGCGAAAAGCUCAGUAACACGUGGUCAAACUACCCUACGAAGACCCAUAACCUCGGGAAACUGAGGCUAAUAGGUCAUAGGAGAGUCACGCUGGAAUGCCGACUCUCCCAAACGCUCAGGCGUCGUAGGAUGUGGCUGCGGCCGAUUAGGUAGACGGUGGGGUAACGGCCCACCGUGCCGAUAAUCGGUACGGGUUGUGAGAGCAAGAGCCCGGAGACGGAAUCUGAGACAAGAUUCCGGGCCCUACGGGGCGCAGCAGGCGCGAAACCUUUACACUGCACGCAAGUGCGAUAAGGGGACCCCAAGUGCGAGGGCAUAUAGUCCUCGCUUUUUCCGACCGUAAGGUGGUCGGCGAAUAAGGGCUGGGCAAGACCGGUGCCAGCCGCCGCGGUAAUACCGGCAGCCCAAGUGAUGACCGAUAUUAUUGGGCCUAAAGCGUCCGUAGCCGGCCAUGAAGGUUCAUCGGGAAAUCCGCCAGCUUAACUGGCGGGCGUCCGGUGAAAACCACGUGGCUUGGGACCGGAAGGCUCGAGGGGUACGUCCGGGGUAGGAGUGAAAUCCCGUAAUCCUGGACGGACCACCGAUGGCGAAAGCACCUCGAGAAGACGGAUCCGACGGUGAGGGACGAAAGCUAGGGUCUCGAACCGGAUUAGAUACCCGGGUAGUCCUAGCUGUAAACGAUGCUCGCUAGGUGUGGCACAGGCUACGAGCCUGUGCUGUGCCGUAGGGAAGCCGAGAAGCGAGCCGCCUGGGAAGUACGUCCGCAAGGAUGAAACUUAAAGGAAUUGGCGGGGGAGCACUACAACCGGAGGAGCCUGCGGUUUAAUUGGACUCAACGCCGGACAUCUCACCAGCUCCGACUAUAGUAAUGACGG
rnacentral:rRNA from 1 species